rnacentral:misc_RNA from 1 species
AUUUUCACCUUUCCAAACCCUAAUUCAAAUUCAUGGUUUAUGCCAUGUAUCUUAGUAGCUACCAAUGCAUUGCUCAUAUGUUUAUUACUUAAACAUGGUUUCUAUUCCACUCUAAGCUCAUUAAAACACUUCCCCUUAUUCCAUAGCUAGGGCAGCCCAAAAUUCAAGAUGUUAUACACAUAAGUUUUUGUUAAUUUAAAUCACAAUUCUUACUAGUUUCAAGUCCUAAACCAUGAAAAUAAAGAGUUUAAUGGAUAUAGGUGCACUAACCUCAAGUGGCA